GCCAGACUCCUACGGGAGGCAGCAGUGGGGGAUAUUGCACAAUGGGGGGAACCCUGAUGCAGCGACGCCGCGUGGGUGAAGGAGCGUUUCGGCGCGUAAAGCCCUCUCGGCAGGGAAGAAGGAGGACGGUACCUGACUAAGAAGCCCCGGCUAACUACGUGCCAGCAGCCGCGGUAAUACGUAGGGGGCAAGCGUUAUCCGGAUUUACUGGGUGUAAAGGGGGCGCAGACGGCAGCGCAAGCCAGGAGUGAAAGCCCGGGGCCCAACCCCGGGACUGCUCUUGGAACUGCGCGGCUGGAGUGCAGGAGGGGCAGGCGGAAUUCCUGGUGUAGCGGUGAAAUGCGUAGAUAUCAGGAGGAACACCGGUGGCGAAGGCGGCCUGCUGGACUGCGACUGACGUUGAGGCCCGAAAGCGUGGGGAGCAAACAGGAUUAGAUACCCCAGUACGC
rnacentral:rRNA from 1 species